AUUGAACGCUGGCGGCAGGCCUAACACAUGCAAGUCGAGCGAGCGGCGGACGGGUGAGUAAUGUCUGGGAAACUGCCUGAUGGCGGGGGAUAACUACUGGAAACGGUAGCUAAUACCGCAUACCAUCAGAUGUGCCCCGAUGGGAGUAGCUAGUAGGUGGGGUAACGGCUCACCUGGGCGACGCUCCCUAGCUGGUCUGAGAGGAUGACCAGUCACACUGGAACGGAGACACGGUCCAGACGCCUACGGGAGGCAGCAGUGGGGAAUAUUGGACAAUGGGCGCAAUCCUGAUGCAGCCAUGCCGCGUGUGUGAAGAAGGCCUUCGGGUUGUAAAGCACUUUCAGCGGGGAGGCGUUACCCGCAGAAGAAGCACCGGCUAACUCCGUGCCAGCAGCCGCGGUAAUUC
rnacentral:rRNA from 1 species